UUGAUAUGCUCGACUGUUGUACGACAUCUUAAUAUACAUUUCGAGUUUGAGACUUGAUUUCUCUUUCGAAUAAUAAUAGCGGUGCACAAAAAUUUUCGAACAUCCCGCAACAGUCAUGCAACGAAUUGUAUUUGUGCAUUGAACCUUAUGGGAGAUAAGUGUGCACACGUUUACAACGCGAGGGCAGUGAGCUCGUUCUCCUUACGCUCGGUAUGGUGGUGCACUUUGAGUUUUCAAGGUCGGCAACGUGUUCGGUUACUUUUACUCUCGACAAUGGGUCGUUGUGGAGUCAUACGGGGAGAGGAAUUCCGCGAUAUUUCACCUUUCGAACGCGAACGUGACGACGUCCUGACGUAACGAGGACCCCCUGAAUUACAACGAACCGCAACGAUUGUGUAGGAGCGAUAACGACGAGCGUUUGUUUGAUUUCGAUUAGAGAGGGAUAAAAAGGAUAAAUAAAUUUGAAAAUCUUCCGGCUUAUUUAUCGAAGCUAUUUGCUAUUGGUGUUUCAGAAAUCGGUACAUUUGUAUGCAUUGUGUGCAUUGCGCAGCUCUGAUUUAUCGUGUAAACUUUUUACUAAUUGCUCAACCGUUUUCCGUCGGAUAGCUUUUUAAUUGUAAUUAUAUGUUAUUUGGUUUACACGAAUUGAUCCGUGAAGUUGGCCUUUUGAAAUUGUGGAUUGCAUACUGAUGCAGUUUCUUUCGAAUGCAGGUUUUUUUUCGUCUCUUUCUUAUUUUUCCUCCUUGACUCGAUCUUUUUUAACGAUCCAGUGGGAUAAGUAUGAUCGUCGCAACGUAGACGGAGUAGAUAUGCGAUCGUUAGAUUAGUUUUGCCGCAUUAAAAAAAUCUGCGGAUUACCAAAAAGGACUCCGCGAAUCGGAAGAAUUUAAUUUUCGGCAGAGAAAUUAAUUAAAAAACAAAGGUGAAUAAUUGGAAUUUGGAAUAUUCAACGCCAUCUGAACGCUAGGGGCAAAACUUCGUUGCGCGUGAGUCGGAUUCUGUAUCUGUGGAAGAGAUGCCAAGUAAAACGCUAUCCUGGACCGAUAAAGAUUUCCUGUUUAUUCUACAAUCGAUAAGUCUUAAGUUGCGGGGAAUCGAAUAUAUUGAGUAGGUCUACCGCAACCAGCGAACACGUUGAUAAAUUUUUGUUGGUAACAAACGUAACAUUAAAAUAUUUUUGUGAGUAAAUUCAAUAGGAGUUGAAUAUUUAUGAAUAUAAUAGCUUUUUCCCUUUUCACCUGUAGAAAGGUUUUGAAAAAAAAAUUGAUUAAGGAAUUCAAGUUAGCUUGACGGUGAAAUUAGUUCGUUGAGUCGUCGAUAGAAAAAGCAGCACCUUAUGGAACGACUCGAGGUUCUCGAAAUGUUAUCCAAUGUGGUUUGAAGUUAUGAUUUUUUCUCACAAAAAUGAAAAAAUCUAUCGCUUGGACCCACGUAUGAAUGACUUGCCUUCUUCAGAACAUGGCGUGGAUAUUGAGACAAUAGAAAACAAACUUGCAUUCGACGAUGCAGCGUGGCUCCUGAUCGAGAAUACAAGACUAUCCUCGGAAUAUCUAUACUAGGCACAUCAUUAUAUGUUCGGUGUGAAUAAAUUGUAGGAAUGAAUCACAUAAAUUGUGCACAUUAUUAGAACUAUGUAUUCCAAACAGGAAUGUUGUCCAAACUAUUAUUUAUUAGGAAUGAGUUAUAACGUAAUGUAAAAAAGCUGUAUGCCAUUCGAUAUUUUGUUAAGAACUAUUCGAUUAUUGAUCUUAGGUGUACGGAAGAGGAGUGUUGUUCACACUAUUGUAACUCGUUAUCAGAUUGAAAGAAAGAUUGUGUCCGCAAGAAUGAGACCAUCAACGGCAUGACAAUGUUGCAUCAUGUAUUUUCGAACGUUGAUUUUCAAUAAACCUCAACUAUUACCAAUA